rnacentral:rRNA from 1 species
GACAGGGGAUGCAAGCGUUAUCCGGAAUGAUUGGGCGUAAAGCGUCUGUAGGUGGCUCCUUAAGUCCGUUGUCAAAUCCCAGGGCUCAACCCUGGACAGGCGGUGGAAACUACUAAGCUGGAGUGCGGUAGGGGCAGAGGGAAUUUCCGGUGGAGCGGUGAAAUGCGUAGAGAUCGGAAAGAACACCAAAGGCGAAGGCACUCUGCUGGGCCGACACUGACACUGAGAGACGAAAGCUAGGGGAGCGAAUGGG